rnacentral:rRNA from 1 species
AGAACGAACGCUGGCGGCAUGCUUAACACAUGCAAGUCGAACGAGACCUUCGGGUCUAGUGGCGCACGGGUGCGUAACGCGUGGGAAUCUGCCCUUAGGUACGGAAUAACUCAGAGAAAUUUGUGCUAAUACCGUAUGAUGUCGAAAGACCAAAGAUUUAUCGCCUAAGGAUGAGCCCGCGUAAGAUUAGCUUGUUGGUGAGGUAAAAGCUCACCAAGGCGACGAUCUUUAGCUGGUCUGAGAGGAUGAUCGAGCCACACGUGGGACUGGACGACCGA